rnacentral:rRNA from 1 species
AAGUCUUUACGGAGAAAGCUUUAUGCACCAUUGGAUGAGCCCGCACUUGAUUAGUUUGUUGGUAGGGUAAUGGCCUACCAAGACUAUGAUCAAUAGCUGAUUUGAGAGGAUGAUCAGCCACAUUGGGACUGAGACACGGCCCAAACUCCUACGGGAGGCAGCAGUGGGGAAUCUUGCACAAUGGAGGAAACUCUGAUGCAGCGAUGCCGCGUGAGUGAAGAAGGCCCUUGGGCUGUAAAGCUCUUUCGUCGGGGAAGA